rnacentral:rRNA from 1 species
UUAAAUCAGUUAUCAGUCUAUUUGAUAGUACCUUACUACUUGGAUAACCGUGGUAAUUCUAGAGCUAAUACAUGCUAAAAAUCCCGACUUCGGAAGGGAUGUAUUUAUUAGAUUAAAAACCAAUGCCCUCUGGGCUCCCUGGUGAUUCAUAAUAACUUCUCGAAUCGCAUGGCCUUGUGCCGGCGAUGGUUCAUUCGAAUUUCUGCCCUAUCAACUUUCGACGGCUGGGUAUUGGCCAGCCGUGGUGACAACGGGUAACGGAGGGUUAGGGCUCGACCCCGGAGAAGGAGCCUGAGAAACGGCUACUACAUCCAAGGAAGGCAGCAGGCGCGCAAAUUACCCAAUCCCGACACGGGGAGGUAGUGACAAUAAAUACUGAUACAGGGCUCUUUUGGGUCUUGUAAUUGGAAUGAGAACAAUUUAAAUCCCUUAUCGAGGAACAAUUGGAGGGCAAGUCUGGUGCCAGCAGCCGCGGUAAUUCCAGCUCCAAUAGCGUAUAUUAAAGUUGUUGCGGUUAAAAAGCUCGUAGUUGAACCUUGGGCCUGGCUGGCCGGUCCGCCUCACCGCGAGCACUGGUUCGGUUGGGCCUUUUCCUCUAGGGAACCGCAUGUUCUUUACUGGGCGUGUCGGGGAACUAGAACUUUUACUUUGAAAAAAUUAGAGUGUUCAAAGCAGGCCUAUGCUCGAAUACAUUAGCAUGGAAUAAUAGAAUAGGACGUGCGGUUCUAUUUUGUUGGUUUCUAGGACCGCCGUAAUGAUUAAAAGGGACAGUCGGGGGCAUCAGUAUUCAAUUGUCAGAGGUGAAAUUCUUGGAUUUAUUGAAGACUAACUACUGCGAAAGCAUUUGCCAAGGAUGUUUUCAUUAAUCAGGAACGAAAGUCAGGGGAUCGAAGACGAUCAGAUACCGUCGUAGUCUUGACCAUAAACUAUGCGAACUAGGGAUCGGACGAUGUUAUUUUUUGACUCGUUCGGCACCUUACACGAAA